UACGUAGGGGGCAAGCGUUGCUCGGAAUCACUGGGCGUAAAGCGCACGUAGGCGGCUUUCUAAGUCAGGGGUGAAAUCCUGGAGCUCAACUCCAGAACUGCCUUUGAUACUGGGAAGCUCGAGUCCGGAAGAGGUGAGUGGAACUCCGAGUGUAGAGGUGAAAUUCGUAGAUAUUCGGAAGAACACCAGUGGCGAAGGCGGCUCACUGGCCCGGUACUGACGCUGAGGUGCGAAAGCGUGGGGAGCAAACAGG
rnacentral:rRNA from 1 species